UACGUAGGGUGCGAGCGUUAAUCGGAAUUACUGGGCGUAAAGGGCGCGUAGGCGGCACGGCAAGUCGGGAGUGAAAGGCCUGGGCUCAACCGAGGAACUGCUUUCGAGACUGCCGAGCUAGAGUGCGGAAGGGGCAACUGGAAUUCCCAGUGUAGCGGUGAAAUGCGUAGAUAUUGGGAAGAACACCUGAGGCGAAGGCGGGUUGCUGGGCCGACACUGACGCUGAGGCGCGAAAGCCAGGGGAGCAAACGGG
rnacentral:rRNA from 1 species